AAGCUUGCGCACUCUCUAUAUUAACUCCCAAGAAGACCGCUGAUAAUUAACAUGCAAAAUGAGAUAAGAGAAACGCUGCAUGAUUAUUCAGAGAUCGCCGUGUUGUUUGUUUUCUGAGGUUAUCAUUGGAAUGGGUGGAAUUGGAAAUAUUAUUAAAGAUACAGGAAAGGAAAAGAUAUAGAAAGGAAGGCGACAAGGAGGUGUUCGAGGGAUGUG